rnacentral:tRNA from 1 species
GCAGAUGUAGCUCAAUGGUAGAGCAUUUGCCUAACAUGCACAAGGCCCUGUGUUUUGUCCCCAGCACUGCU